rnacentral:rRNA from 1 species
CAGGCUUAACACAUGCAAGUCGCGGGGCAUCAUGGAGGUUGCUUGCAAUUUCUGAUGGCGACCGGCGCACGGGUGAGUAACGCGUAUCCAACCUUCCCAUUACUACGGCAUACCCCGUUGAAAGGCGGCCUAAUUCCGUAUGCAGUCCGAAGCAGUCAUCUAAUUUGGACGAAAGGUAUAUUCUAUCGGUAAUGGAUGGGGAUGCGUCCGAUUAGCCAGCCGGCGGGGUAACGGCCCACCGGGGCAUUGAUCGGUAGGGGUUCUGAGAGGAAGGUCCCCCACACUGGAACUGAGACACGGUCCAGACUCCUACGGGAGGCAGCAGUGAGGAAUAUUGGUCAAUGGGCGUAAGCCUGAACCAGCCAAGUAGCGUGCAGGAUGACGGCCCUAUGGGUUGUAAACUGCUUUUAUGCGGGGAUAAAGUUGGGGA